GCUUACUGUCUGGCCUGAUCUUGUCUGAUCUCGAAAGCUAAGCAGGGUUGAGCCUAGUUACUACCUGCAUUGGAGACCGCCUGGUGAUACCAGCUGCUGUAAGCC
rnacentral:rRNA from 1 species